rnacentral:rRNA from 1 species
UACGUAGGGAGCAAGCGUUGUCCGGAAUCAUUGGGCGUAAAGCGCGCGUAGGCGGCCCUGUAAGUCCGUUGUGAAAGUCAAAGGCUCAACCUUUGAAAGCCGAUGGAUACUGCAGGGCUAGAGUCCGGAAGAGGCGAGUGGAAUUCCUGGUGUAGCGGUGAAAUGCGCAGAUAUCGGGAAGAACACCCGUGGCGAAGGCGGCUCUCUGGGACGGUACUGACGCUGAGACGCGAAAGCGUGGGGAGCGAACAGG